AUGCGGGCCCUUUUUUGGAACAUCCGCGGCUUCGGCCAUGAUGGCCGUCGCCGCCAACUCAUCGAGUACGUGCGCGAUGAACGCAUUGACAUCGUUGCGAUUCAAGAAACCAUGCGUGCUGAGUUCUCCCUUCAUGAGCUCGAUUGCCUCAGCUCCCACCUUUUUGCCUGGCACUGGCUCCCUUCUAGUGGGACCACGGGCCACUCCGGUGGCAUCCUCUUAGGGGUUAAGGAUGCCACCUUCGAAGUGGGCAGCAUGGAUCGGGGUGAAUUCUUCGUUAGUAUGGAGAUCUUUGAGCGGGCCCUGAACUUCAAAUGGGAGGUCGUUAUUGUCUAUGGUCCGGCGGAUCACCGCCGUUCCCCGACCUUCCUUGCAGAGCUACACCAAAAGAUCUCCGCCUCCCUCCUCCCAGUAGUUGUGGGCGGAGAUUUUAACCUCAUCCGUUCACCUGAUGAGAAGAAUAAUGAUAGGAUUAACCUCCCCUGGAUGCAGUUGUUCAACGACUGGAUCGUGGAGCUCGGCCUCCGUGAGAUCGAGAGAACGGGGGCGAGAUUUACCUAG
rnacentral:rRNA from 1 species